GUUCAAAAGAGGAAAGGCUUGCGGUGCAUACCUAGGCACCCAGAGACGAGGAAGGGCGUAGCAAGCGACGAAAUGCUUCGGGGAGUUGAAAAUAAGCAUAGAUCCGGAGAUUCCCAAAUAGGUCAACCUUUUAAACUGCCUGCUGAAUCCAUGAGCAGGCAAG
rnacentral:ncRNA from 1 species